rnacentral:rRNA from 1 species
GAUGAACGCUGGCGGCGUGCCUAAUACAUGCAAGUCGAGCGAACAGACGAGGAGCUUGCUCCUCUGACGUUAGCGGCGGACGGGUGAGUAACACGUGGAUAACCUACCUAUAGGACUGGGAUAACUUCGGGAAACCGGAGCUAAUACCGGAUAAUAUAUUGAACCGCAUGGUUCAAUAGUGAAAGACGGUUUUGCUGUCACUUAUAGAUGGAUCCGCGCCGCAUUAGCUAGUUGGUAAGGUAACGGCUUACCAAGGCAACGAUGCGUAGCCGACCUGAGAGGGUGAUCGGCCACACUGGAACUGAGACACGGUCCAGACUCCUACGGGAGGCAGCAGUAGGGAAUCUUCCGCAAUGGGCGAAAGCCUGGCGGAGCAACGCCGCGUGAGUGAUGAAGGUCUUCGGAUCGUAAAACUCUGUUAUUAGGGAAGAACAAAUGUGUAAGUAACUAUGCACGUCUUGACGGUACCUAAUCAGAAAGCCACGGCUAACUACGUG